rnacentral:rRNA from 1 species
UACGUAGGGUGCGAGCGUUAAUCGGAAUUACUGGGCGUAAAGUGUGCGCAGGUGGCCGCGCAAAGUCCGGAGUGUGAAAUCCCCGAGCUUAACUUGGGAAAUUGCGCUCGAAACUACGUGGCUCGAGUGUGGCAGAGGAAGGUAGGAAUUCCACGUGUAGCGGUGAAAUGCGUAGAGAUGUGGAGGAACACCGAUGGCGAAGGCAGCCUUCUGGGCCAACACUGACGCUCAUGCACGAAAAGCGUGGGGAGCAAACAGG